CCCUUAGACGUUCUGGGCCGCACGCGCGCUACACUGACACAGGCAACGAGCUUUCCUUUACCGAAAGGUAUAGGUAAUCUUUUGAAACUGUGUCGUGCUGGGGAUAGAUCCUUGCAAUUUUUGAUCUUAAACGAGGAAUUCCUAGUAAGCGCGAGUCAUCAACUCGCGUUGAUUACGUCCCUGCCCUUUGUACACACCGCCCGUCGCUACUACCGAUUGAAUGGCUUAGUGAGGCCUCAGGAUCCGCGCUUAAUGUGUGGAGAAUUUGGACAAACUACGUCAUUUAGAGGAAGUAAAAGUCGUAACA
rnacentral:rRNA from 1 species